GGCGCCCUGUGCGCCUGAUGCUCCGCCGCGUGACUAUCCCGUUAUGCAUAUCCUGUGUGCGCUCUAGAUCCAUCGGGGC
rnacentral:snoRNA from 1 species